rnacentral:rRNA from 1 species
UACGUAGGGUGCAAGCGUUGUCCGGAAUUAUUGGGCGUAAAGAGCUCGUAGGCGGUCUGUCGCGUCGGCUGUGAAAACCCGAGGCUCAACCUCGGGCCUGCAGUCGAUACGGGCAAGCUAGAGUACUGCAGGGGAGACUGGAAUUCCUGGUGUAGCGGUGAAAUGCGCAGAUAUCAGGAGGAACACCGGUGGCGAAGGCGGGUCUCUGGGCCGUAACUGACGCUGAGGAGCGAAAGCGUGGGGAGCGAACAGG